rnacentral:rRNA from 1 species
CUACGGGGUGCUCCAGUGAGGAAUAUUGCACAAUGGGGGAAACCCUGAUGCAGCAACGCCGCGUGGAGGAUGACGCAUUUCGGUGUGUAAAUUCCUUUUAUGAGUCAAGAAAAUGACGGUAGCUCAUGAAUAAGCACCGGCUAACUCCGUGCCAGCAGCCGCGGUAAUACGGAGGGUGCAAGCGUUACUCGGAAUCACUGGGCGUAAAGGACGCGUAGGCGGGCUUGUAAGUCAGGUGUGAAAUCCUACAGCUUGACUGUAGAACUGCACUUGAAACUACGAGCCUAGAGUAUGGGAGGGGCAGAUGGAAUUAGUGGUGUAGGGGUAAAAUCCGUAGAUAUCACUAGGAAUACCGAAAGCGAAGGCGAUCUGCUGGGACAUUACUGACGCUAAGGCGUGAAAGCGUGGGGAGCAAACGGGAUUAGAUACCCGCGUAGUC